UGGGGAAUAUUGCACAAUGGGCGCAAGCCUGAUGCAGCCAUGCCGCGUGUAUGAAGAAGGCCUUCGGGUUGUAAAGUACUUUCAGCGGGGAGGAAGGGAGUAAAGUUAAUACCUUUGCUCAUUGACGUUACCCGCAGAAGAAGCACCGGCUAACUCCGUGCCAGCAGCCGCGGUAAUACGGAGGGUGCAAGCAUUAAUCGGAAUUACUGGGCGUAAAGCGCACGCAGGCGGUUUGUUAAGUCAGAUGUGAAAUCCCCGGGCUCAACCUGGGAACUGCAUCUGAUACUGGCAAGCUUGAGGGUCGUAGAGGGGGGUAGAAUUCCAGGUGUAGCGGUGAAAUGCGUAGAGAUCUGGAGGAAUACCGGUGGCGAAGGCGGCCCCCUGGACGAAGGCUGACGCUAAGGUGCGAAAGAGUGGGGAGCAAACAGG
rnacentral:rRNA from 1 species